CUGUGAGGCUCUGUGUAAGACUCUGUUUUCUUCACUUUUGCAGCACUAGCUAAGGAUGGAACUGAAACCUAAUGAGGAAUCUUGUGCUGGCAGUGUUUCUUACCCAAAUGUGUCGGCUCGUGCAUUUCUGGGCAUCUGUGCUCAAUAUGAAGCACCUGCUCAUGUAAGGGCAAGGUGAGUUUGUGGUCUUUCCUCCUGGGAGAUGCUAUCAGGACAAGCUGCGAAGUGGGAUGUCUGAAACAGAUCAAGACGAUUUUCUAAACACCAGUACACAAGUAAGUGCUGUAAGUAAUUUGCAAGCUAGAGAAGGUGAGCCAAAAAUCACUCCCUGAGACAUACACGAGUGAGCAGAAUUAUGUGAAACUCUGCCUCUUUUGACAGCAACACUGAAUAUGGACAAAGUGCAUUUU
rnacentral:lncRNA from 1 species